UGAGGCUACAGCAGACUCCUCCUAUCUCAUAGAAAAGAGGCCUCAGCUUCCCAGCCUCCAGCAAAGGGAAUUUUCUAGGUCCCAGUCCCCCUGCUUUGAUUUUAACCCUCUCUGUGUCUCUCUCCUCUGACUUCUACUUCCUUGCUCUCCAUCUAAUUCCCCCUCCUCCUCGAGCUCUUUGAAGUUGAGGGAGUCUAUACUGCCAGGCACUAUCCUUGCUCUUCUAAUUUCUUAAUUCAUUUCACCUUCCUCCUAGCCCCAUGGGGCAGGCAUUGUUAUUAUCAUCCCCAUGUUGUGUGUAAGGAAAUGGGUCAUGCAGGAGUUAAAAACCUGCCUAACUUUCACGCAGCUAGUAAGUGGCAGAACUGCAAAUUGAACAGCCAGUCCCUGCUCCACAGAGAUAUGCAAUGCUACCUCUUGAGCUAAAACAGAAAUUCAGACCCCACUUUGUAGACACAAUGGCUCAGAUUUAGGAGACGACCCUGCAGCCAAACCUAGACAAACAUGAGGUGGUUCUGCUGUCCUGAGCUUGCUGCUCACCGUCUCUGCCCACAUGGCUCUAGCUGGGCUCAGGACUUUCCUCUUCACAGCAGGCUGAACAGCAAACCCAGAGGCCAUUGCAGCUGCCUCGGUAUUCUACACCCCCCUUGGGUCUGGAAGUUGUUGGAGGCAGGCAUACCAGACUGUUUAUAAUAUGGAUGCUUUCUCCUUCACCUAGCUGGAGCCAAGAGGGGUGGGGGAAGACUGAGAGAGACAGAGACAGGGAGAGAGAGAGAGCCUGCCUAACUGCCUAUUUAUCCCAAAUCCAUAUAUUAUUUUGGAACAUUCAGUAUUGCAGAAAUACAUGGAGGGAUAAAUCAUUUCUUCUGCCAUCUGGUCUCGGAGAACCUUCCCAAGAACUGUAGCUUCGUUUAAUUUUGCUGCGUUCCUUUCCCACCCUCUUUGUGCUUUCCAUCAUCUUUUCUUGGCUGUAUUUUUGGGUUUGUUUUGCUUCAGUUUCUUGCUCUUUUAGCUGUUUCUGGAUUUCAAUUUUUAAAAAGAAAUAACGGAUCGCACUUAUCCAAGUCGUGCCAGAUUCUUUAUUUGGGAUAAUGCUACCUCAUGGCUAUUUUUUAACUUUAAUCCGGAACCUUGGAGUGACGUGUGGAUUUUUUUUUAAUGCCCCAACCAGAUGCACUAAGCAGCUUGAUGGUCAGUAAUGAGGCAGCACCAGGACCCUGUGGUCCUAGAGUUUCUUGGCAGUGCCUUCAUGGCAAAUGUUUCAGUGAGAUGAGCGUGGCAGACCCAGCCCAGCCAUUGCUCUAUGGUUCCAAAGUCCUUUUAAAUGAACAAAUGGGUUGGCAUUCAUCUAGUGGGACUGCAACUCCAGUGAGGUUACUCAAAACAUACUGGGCAAAGGUUUCUCACUGUUUGAGUGGGAGGUUACAAGGGAAGAAGUCUAGAGCGAUCCAUGGCAUGAUGGAUGGGGGUUGGCAUCAGAAUGAAUCAUGUUUAGCUUAAUUGGGACACAGAUGGUUAAGUAUAGAAAUACCUACAGACAUACAUACAUCCCUGGGUUACUGUACACAUAGAUCUUCUUGUUCCGUCAGUUUAGAGGUCCUGGAAGCCACAACCCCCCAGCAGCAAUGAGCAUGCCUACUACCCAGAUCUCAGUUUCUAAUACCAUUCUCCAAAAA
rnacentral:lncRNA from 1 species